rnacentral:rRNA from 1 species
GAUGAACGCUGACAGAAUGCUUAACACAUGCAAGUCAACUGUGGCGGACGGGUGAGUAACGCGUAAAGAACUUGCCUCACAGAUAGGGACAACAUUUGGAAACGAAUGCUAAUACCUGAUACUGUGAGAGCGCUUUGCGUCCCAUUAGCUAGUUGGAGAGGUAACGGCUAACCAAGGCGAUGAUGGGUAGCCGGACUGAGAGGGUGAUCGGCCACAAGGGGACGGAGACACGGCCGUGACUACGACGGGAGGCAGCAGUGGGGAAUAUUGGACAAGGGACCAAAGUCUGAUCCAGCAAUUCGGUGUGCACGAUGAAGUUUUCGGAAUGUAAAGUGCUUUCAGUUGGGAAGCGGUACCAACAGAAGAAGUGACGGCUAAAUACGUGCCAGCAGCCGCGGUAAUUC